rnacentral:lncRNA from 1 species
UGGUGGUCAUAGAAGGUGAUUAGUGACCCACCUUCUGUGACGACAGUCACUUCGUCACUACAGGCAGGUAGUGACAGGAAACAGGCUGUAUUCGUCAUAAUCUAGUUGUCAUAGAAGCCUAGAAUUCUUGUAGUGAGGAGUAGAAUACUUUUGGGUGGUUCUGGAGAUGGAAAUUAGUGGAUAUAUGUGGAUGCGUACUUCCAGAGUAGAAGCAGCAUGUGUGAUUGAACGUGCAAGUGAAUCUUGAUUUAACCACAUGACAAGCUCCUAAGGGUCUACACAGCUUGACCACACUCAAUGCUCAUAAGCAGUAAAAAGUAAAUGUGUAGCUCAAGGUCUAGCAAGCAUAUAUAUAUGGCUGUGGUAGGAAUUUAAACUCUCAUCAUACAGAAACUCAUCAUAUGAUAUUUAAAAGUUUUUCGAAGAUAAAAUUCUCCAAAAUUCUAGCAUCUCAAGGAACAGAUAAACAGCAGCUCAACUUUCUCAUAUCAUAUCGUUAACAACUUAGACUUCAGAUCAAGUUCUCUUCCCACCAGUUCAGGUUUAGGGCAAGCUUUAAAUUAUAACAGUUAUGUCUAAACUUGAGAGCAAACUUCAAAUUCGAAAAUUUAGGCAGAGCAACUAUUCAUUAUAUCCAUGCUAGAGUUCUAUUAAGACUCAGUUUAGCAUAGCCACUUUAUUUAUUUAUUAAGCAAACUAAGCAAAGAUAUAUAUAUAAGCACAAAAUCUUUAUUUGGUUUUUUUAUGAUUAUGUAUAUUUUUAUUUUAGUAUAGUAUAAGUAUAAAUGUAGAUAGAAAUACUUAGCGGGAUAAAUGGAGGUGCUCUCCCCAAGCUGAAUUUUGACGUAAUUUCUUUUAAUGUAGCUAGCAGGUGGCAGAGGUGUAUUUGAAUGUCGGCAGCACCCUGACAGUGAUUAGAGUGUCCUCUGUCUGCUAGUCUUCUUGAUCCUUGAAUUCUAUGGAGCUCAAAUAGACAACAACGCUUUGUGGAACUGAUUAGGUGUUACCAUAAAUAUCUAGCUUUUAUCAUGUUGAGCUCCCUCAAUAAAUGCUACUUUCUUUGGUAGGAUCACAAUUUUAUUUUUAUAUUUUUAUUUUUAUAGAGCAGAACAAUAUUUUUAUUAUUUUUUGUGCCACCACAGUGAAUGUACUUAUGGGUUUUAUGCCACUUGUAUACUCACAUGGGGCUUACUGGUUUUAACAUUUUUUAUUUUCUUUCUAGGAUAGUAUGAACAUAAUUAACUAAGCAAACUAUUUUAAAUAAUUGAAAGGAAAAGGAUAACUACGAAGUUUACCUCUUGGCAAGGCGUUCGGUGUUUUUAAGUCCUCCGUACGGGACUCUUUGUUUUCUCAGUCGUCCUGGGAUUCGCUGGAUGGCGUAGUCGGUGGUUCCGGCGGCGCCUCCUAUUCGUGUACAACUACCUUCUCUCUCCACUCCUGACUCGGUGCUACGGUCUCCUUAGGACAAUUCUGUUCAAGCUGUAUGUCUUUAGACCUUACCACUUUUCCUUCGUAGUCUGCCCAUCCAUCCUUGAUGAUUUGCCUCCUCUGGUUGCGGUUGCGCCGUCUUCUUCUUAUCCUGACCUGCUUAGAGUCUUCAACUAUAUAGUUAGGGUUAGUAAAAUAGCGGUGUACCUUCUGAGAGGGAAAGUGCAUGUGGACUUCUCUGGUUCUAAUGUAGAUGAUUGCUUUAACGGUUCUGAGGAACGGUCUCCCAAGGAUGAUGGGUCGAUCGUACUCGUCUUCUCCUAUGUCAAUAACCUGAAAGUCUCUAUGGACAAAAUGAUCAUCUUUUUUGACAGGGACAUCAGUUACUAUACCUUCAACCUUUCGAAAUGUCUGAUCUACCAUCUGGAGCUGAAUGUAUGUCAGUUUUAGGGGCAUGGUUCCGAACAAAAGCCGAUAGGUGACUGCGGCCAUUAUGUUGACACCCGAUCCGGUGUCGCAAAGUGUCUUGUAGAAGUUGAAUCCAUUAAUGGAGCACUAGAUACUUGGUAUACCUGGGUCGUCCUUCUUUGGCAGGAACGGUGACUUAAGUCGAUGAUCUUGACCUCCGUGAACUAGAGUGACCAUCUUAGCUGACACGGUCCACACUUUCUUAUUCCUGUUCCUCCUGUUGGUCCUCUUCCAUGGUUCUUGUCGGGAUUGCUCUAGGAUUUGUGUAGUCUUGUUCUUGAAGGAAAACAUCUCCUUCCUUCCUUCGAUGUAGAAACUGACCUUGGCAGGACUAGCGUAGAUGACAGCUCCCGAGGUGUUCACAAAUGGCCUCCCUAGGAUGACGGGUGCCCUCUCAUCAUUACUGGUCUCUAUCCCCACGAAGUCUGCUAGGGCGUACAAGGUACCAACUCGGACACAGAGGUUCUUCAAUAUUCCCUUGGGGAAACUUAGCGUCCGAUCUGCAAGCUGCAAACACAUGGUUGUUUCUAGUAAGGGAUAUGUAAAGAAUUGUUCAUAGAGUACCCUAGGCAUAAUGUUGACGCUGGAGCCAAAGUCGCAGAGUGCUUCUGGGAAGUCCACCAUGCCGAUGGAGAUCGGGAUGAUGGGGCGUCCAGAGCCUCUCUUGACCGGCAGAAGGCCAGUAGUAACUUCUGCAACGAGGUUACUCCAGUAGUUACCUGUAUCAAACAUGUCUACAAGAUUUGCAGAUUCUAAUCCUUCCGGUUGUGAUGGUAUACUGGGGUUAGAAGCAGGAACAGUAGCAGCUAUUUGAUUUAACAGAGAUACAAUCAUUUUAUUAAAGCUAAUUUGAUUCUUGUUGGCAGUAGAGAAAUUAUCCAUUCUAUUAUUUAUAUUUUCUAACAUUUUAUGAUUAGAUGCCAAUUUCUUAGAUAGGUUAUCCAUUAGCUUUCCUUGAUUAGACACUAACUCUCUCAGAUUACCUUGAUAAUUACCGGAGUAGUUAGGCCUCUGUUGAUUCCAACCUUGAUUUUGCUGAGGACGGUUGUAGUAAUUGUUGUUGUUGUUGUUGAUGAUGUAAUUCGCGUCCUCAAGCAUCUCAGGGCAGUGAUUGCCUGAGUGUCUAGUAUCUCCACACUCCUCACAAGUUAUGUGAGAGUCGUAGACGUGCAUGACAUCUUUCUUAUCUCCAGCUCUAUCAUCGAGCUUCUUCAUGAGCAGGUCUAGCUUGGCAAACAGCAUGUCUACCUCCUUGAGCUGGUGCAUACCUCCACCUCUCUUGCGUGUCUGGGUCCUUUCUUCAUUCCAGCCUUGGUUGGACGCCAUCUUCUCCACAAGAGCUGUGGCUAGUGGUAUGGUGAGGGAUAGGAAUGCUCCUCCAGCUGCAGCAUCCAUGGUCUCACGGGAACUAUUGCCGAGCCCAUGAUAAAACGUCUACAUCAGUAGCCAGCUCUCCAUUCCAUGAUGGGGACAUUCUAGGAUAUAGUCUUGGAAGCGCUCCCAUGCUUCUAGAACGGAUUCAUCAUGUUGUUGUUGAAAACUUGUAAUUUUCCCACGGAGAGCAUUGGUCUUGCCCAUGGGAAAGAACUUAGCCAGAAAGUUCGUGGAGCAGAGUGCCCACGUAGUAUUCUUCUCCUUUGUAGUGUAGAACCACUGCUUUGCUCUCCCAAACAGCGAGAAUGCGAAGAGGCGAAGUAGUAUAGCAUCACUGGGGACUCCUGACAUGGUGAAUGUGCUGCAAAUCUUCAGGAAGUGUUGGGGAUGAGCACUAGCAUCUUCGUGAGCCUUUCCACAGAACUAGUUGGUUUGCACCAUGUUGAUGAGCCCAGGCUUGAGCUCAAAGUUGCCAUCGAUCUCUGCAGCAGGUCCAGUGUGGAUGUUGUCCAUAGUGGGAGCCGAGAACUCGCAGAUCGAUUUGUUCACCAUAACUUCAAACUCUGAAGACAAGUUCCGGGUGAAACUUUGGUGAUCUUCUUGAUUGGAUGAAGCUUCGUGCUGAUGUGUUGACAAUCUCCUAUUGAGCUUAGCUCUUAUUUUUUUGAAUAAUGCUUCGAGAUUGUCAACAAAAUUUCCUGGAACAUGUCUUCUAUUCAUACAUUGCCCUGGAUACAAAAAAUCAAAAUAGAAAAAUAGGGGUAAAACUGUAUGAGAGAAUUGAUAAUCUCGAUCAUAUUAGUGAUACGAAUAAUGUCUCGAAAUUCCGUAUUCAUUCCUUAUUAGUAAUCAACCUUCCCCGGCAACGGCGCCAAAAAUUCUUGUUGGGCAUUCUUAACAUCAUUACCAAAAGUAGACUUAGUUUUCUAAUUCUGAUAACGGCGCCAAAAAUGCCAAACCUAUCUAGCAUUAAUACCGAUGUAGCAUUUUAACCGGGAAGUAUUCUAGGUAUCGUUAUUUAUAUUUUUACCACUCGGAAGGGAUUGAUUAUCAUCAAUGUUCAUUAUGGAAUGGAAUAUAGAAUUGAGUAUCUAUCAUUGCAUGUGUAAUAGAGAGCAUUUAUCUAUCUCUUUCAUAUAGGGAUAAAUGUCACAUAAAAGAUAGAUAAAGUAUGAAUGGUGACAAAGAUAAUUAAUGUGAUCAGCAUAACUAGCCACAUAUAAUAAUGAUAAGCAUCUCAACAGAUAUUCUAGCAAUUCAUUAGCAUAGAAUUAGAAUGAAGUACAAGAAUAUUUCCUAAGUUAUUCUUAACUAUAAAGUCUAGCAUAUCAUAGUUAGUGCAAUUAUAUUUGGAAAUCAUUGCGAGACAGGACUACGCCCAUGCAUAGUGAUAUUAUCAAGAAAGAUGAGAAACAUAGCAAUCACUCCCCUGUAAUAAUGUUGCUCUACCUACCCUAUACACGAGAGGGGGACUAUAUAAUAAUCAAUGGAGCUGUCGCUACCAUGAACUACCCCGCGAUCCGGCAUAUAGGGUACAAUCGCAGAUAAAUACGGUAUAGGCACCACGCCUACACAAUACUUAUCAUUCACCCACUGUACACAUGGAUAAAUGCUAUACGAUCCUAAACAUGUAUAUAAUUCCAAUCUAAGCUAAGCAUAUAACUAUGAUAAACUAAGAACAAUAUAAUUGCAAAUAUAAACAAGUAGAGCAAAGUCAUAAUGAAUAUAUUGAAGUAGAACAAAGUUAUAUUCAUAAUAUUGAAGAACAAUGAUGAACAAAUGAAGAACAGUAGAGGAAUUACCAAGAAUCCUCUUGACAAAUCCGGAAACCAAUCGAAGAUUCACUCCUUCUAGUUCUAAUCCUAUGUAGCUAUGCUAAACUAGAGAUCUAGUUGAUGUGGUGGCUCUAGGGCUUGAUCAGAGACUUUUUCUCCCGAGAUGGAUGAAUGGAUUAGGCUUUCUCCGGUCCUCUCCUCCAGGGUUCAGGGGGUCUGCUUAUAUAGUCCUUCCAAAUGAAUAUGGGUCAUCGGAUCAAACCGACCUUAAUCGCACGAAUUUCAUUAAUCCCUUAAGUCGGUGGAGCAUGAUCCGCGAGGCGGAGCCUGAUUGGCUCUCAGGCCAGGGCGGGCGCCCUGCCCCUAGGUCCACUCGUUCCUAUGGCUUCUGGACUCUUCUAGAUGUUGGAUAUUUCCGCGGCACGUUAAUAUCUCUAUGUAAACCCGACGUGUGGGCCUUUCCUCCAUAUUUCCUGAUAACCCCCUACAGAAAUAGACAAACACCAAAACUCGUGGAAUUCUGUCAGAUAAAACCCUAAGUCUGUGUGUCGGGUGCAUUUGGAUCCUUUUCUCUAUUUAUUUUUUGAUUAUAUUUAUACUUAAGGACUGUCAACAGGGGCUAAUGUUGACCUCAGGCUGUGAUGUACCUUGCUCUUUCAUCGUUUGACUCAGUGCUUCUUGUACUUUCCUUUUAAUCUCUGCCUGCAUCCAUUCUUCACGAGAUUUCUUGCGCUCUUGUGACUGUAUAACAAAACCUUCUAGCUGGUGGAUCCGCUCUGCCUCCUCGUCCUUCUUUCUGUGGUGGCUUCUAUAGGUUUCUUGAUCAACUUCGAAUGAAUGCAGCCACGGAACUGCCCCAUAGCCUCUCGUAUGCCCACCAUGCUCAGGAUUUUCAAGCGCGUACGUGAGUUCAUCCUUCUCCCUAUUAGGCCUGAACUCACCAGACUAAACCGCCUCUCAUGCACAGACUAGUCUCUCUGCUACUCUAGAGAUUUCUUGGCCCCAAACUAGUGCUCCGGUGUCUAGGUCCACGCUUCCCCCAUGACCAUAGAACCAAUGCUUUGAGCGCUCCCUCCAAUUCUUUGCUAUUGUCUCAGGUGUGACCCCCUAGCAAGCAUCCCCUGUUCCAUUCGGUCCCACGUGGGAACGACACUCUUAUAACCAUCUGAUCCCAUAUGAUGGUGGUAUGUCUUUUUACUUGCAUUCUCUUGGUUCCUCAUGGCUCGUUCCUCGCCCUCUUCUCCUAUUUUGUAUUGCACGAAGUCAUCCCAGAAGGCCCUCAGCUUUACAUUUUGCUUGAGGUUAUUGUAUAAAGUCUUCUUCUAAUUCUAGAACAGUACCACCAUCUUCUUUAUAGUCCAGUCAUAAAUUCGCGCCUUCAACUCUUCAUCAUUGGUGUCGAAGGAGAAAACCACCAUGACGGCUUUCCAAACUAACUCCUUGUCAUGAUCAAAGACAAAACUAAUUUUAGGAGCACCUCGCUUCUCUCUCCAUUCACGAGCACUGGUCGGUAUUUGGUCUCUCACAAGGUAACCACAGUGAUCGACAUAUUUAGUUGCAUGUUCACCAAGUGGUCUGCCUGUAGCUAUCUCAAACUCGGAUAUUACAUAGCGGACCUCCAAUGGCUUCUUUGGCCCUUGUGGAGGUAUACUACUCCCCGUAGACGUCAAUCCAAAGGGCUACACGUAGAUAUAGAAACAAAAAUACUAAAAUAAUAACCAAGUAAGUCUAAAACCUAAUGUAAGAGAUGAUGCAUUAUAUAUGUUUACAUUUACAUAACUUGCUGGUAUUUCCUUCUUAUUGCACGAUGAGUUGUUGCUCAGGCGCAUUGCCCUCUUGAUGCUCAUAAGCAAAGUACUGACUACCAUCGUCGAUUAUAUUUCUCAUGGCAUCUUCCAUAUAUAUAUAAGACUAUAUAAGAUAAGAAAACAAUAAUACUAGAAUAAUACUAGGAUAAUAUACUAAAAAAAUAAUACUAAAAAAUAAUGCUAAAAUACUAGUACAAACAAUAAUAUAUACAAAACACUAGAAAAUAAAAUAUAUAUUAGAUACUUAUAUACUACUACUAGUACUAAUACAAACGAAAGUGCUCGGAGUGCUCCAAACUAAAAAAAUAAUACUAGAAUCUUUUAAGCCAAGUAAUAUACUAGAAUAAUACUAGGAUAAUAUAUAAAAAAUAAUACUAGAAUAAUAGUACAAGCAAUAAUAUAUACAAAAUAUUAGAAAAUAAAAUAUAUAUUAGAGACUUAUAUACUACUACUAGUACUACUACAAACGAAAGUGCUGGAGUGCUCCAAACUAAAAAAUAAUACUAGAAUCUUUUAACCCAAGUAAUAUACUAGAAUAAUACUAGGAUAAUAUAUAAAAAAUAAUACUAGAAUAAUAGUACAAGCAAUAAUAUAUACAAAAUAUUAGAAAAUAAAAUAUAUAUUAGAGACUUAUAUACUACUACUAGUACUACUACAAACGAAAGUGCUGGAGUGCUCCAAACUAAAAAAUAAUACUAGAAUCUUUUAAGCCAAGUAAUAUACUAGAAUAAUAAUAGGAUAAUAUACUAAAAAAUAAUAUAAAAAAUAAUACUAGAAUAAUAAGUACAAACAAUAAUAUAUACAAAACACUAGAAAAUAAAAUAUAUAUUAGAGACUUAUAUACUACUACUAGUACUACUACAACCGAAAUUACUCGCAAACUAAAAAAUAAUACUAUAAUCUUUUAAGCAAGUAAUAUACUAGAAUAAUACUAGGAUAAUAUACUAAAAAUAAUACUAGAAUAAUAGUACAAACAAUAAUAUAUACAAAAUAAUAGAAAAUAAAAUAUAUAUUAGAGACUUAUAUACUACUACUAGUACUACUACAUAUGAAAGUGCUCGAGUGCUCAAAACUAAAAAGUAAUAUUAGAAUAAUAUAUUAAAAACAAUACUAGAUUAAUAAUACAAACAAUAAUAUAUACAAAACACUAUAUAUAUAUAUAUAUAUACUUAAUAAUUAUGCUAGCAUGCAUUAUUUUUUAGUGUAUAUAUAUACUUAAUAUAUAUACAAAACACUAUAAUCAUGUAAUAUAUAUAUACGAGAAAACACUAGAAUCAUAUAUAUAUAUAUAUACUUAAUAAUUAGGGUAGCAUUCAUUAUUUUUUAGUGUAUAUAUACACUUCAUAUAUAUACAAAACACUAUAAUCAUAUAUAUAUAUAUAUAUAUACAAAACACUAAAAUCAUAUUCCAAAGUUUAUAUAUAUAUAUAUAUAUAUAUAUAUAUAUAUAAUUCAUAAUAACAUGCAUUUUUUAGUGUAACUGCUCGGCAUAUAAUUCAUAACAUCCAUUCAUUAUUUUUUAGUAUAUAUAUAUAUAUGUAUAAAAACUGUUGUGCCACAUGCAUAUUAGUGGAGAUGAACGAUCUAGUACGUAGGGGGUGGAGUUCGGUGGACAGCACUAUGGUGGAGGCCGCUGCGGCGGCGCUGGUGGCGGAGAUGGUCGCGACGGCGCUGGUGAAGGUCGCGGCGACGCUAGAGACGAACGGCGCAGGGCACGAAGACGAACGGCGGCGGUGCUGGUGGAGACGAGGCGGCGGCAAGGGCUCUGCUCGAAGAAGAUGAAGGAACUGUUCGGAUCAAGGACGCCUGUGUGCUUUUAUAGGGGCGGACCCUUUAGCGCCAGUCCGUAGUUGAAACCGGUGCUAAAGGGUCUUUAACACCGGCUGGUGGCACGCACUAGUGUUAAAAGGUGACCCUUUUAGCACCGGCGCGUGUCACCAUACGGUGCUAAAGAGACCCUUUAGCACCGGUUUUAGCUACGGGCCUGUGCUACAGAGUCCUUAGGCGGGCUCAGGCGGGGUCCUAAAAUUUCGAGGACCCUUUAGCACCGGUUCCAACAUGGACCAGUGCUAAAGGGCAUGUGAUCCUGUUUUUAGGUUUAGCUUUUUAAACUGUUUAUAUAUAUGCUAAACAUUAUUAAUUGUAUAGUAAAUUAAAUAUUUUGCAUAAUAUUUUUUAAAAAGUGUCAUGUAUUGUAUUUUUCCUUAAUGUACACAUAAAAAAUUUUAACCUUAAAUAUCUUAGUGUAUUUUUUAAAUUUUCAAUAAGUUUGUAACUAAUGUUUAAUAUUUUGUUAAUGCAAAAAUAUAUUAUUUUCCAAUAAAUUUUAAAAAACUAUAUCCAAUCAACAGAAAAUCUAUUUUCACAUCAUAUUGAUGUUGAAUUUUUUAUUUUUGUCAUUUAUAACUCAGAAUGCGAGUAUGGUACAAUUUUCAUCAAAUAAAAAAAAUCUAUUUAUCAUAUAAAAAUAUAGAUCUUGAUGAAUACACACUUUGACCGAACCCUAGAUGGUCCCAAAUGGAAAAGUCAUGAAUACAAAGUUUGUUACACUCAUCAAGUUCUACAUUUGGUCUAAUGGUCAACAUUUCACUUGGAAAAGUUUGAACCACUCAAUUUUGAAUUUUGAAAUGUAGACACACACCGGUUUUUCGAACCCUAAAUGUUCUCGACUGGAAAAUUCUUCAAUAUCAAUAUUGUUCAACUCAUCAAGAUCUACAUUUAAUAUAUAGAGCAUUUUUGCAUUUGACAAAGUGUUGGGAAGGUGUGGUUGAAAAUCCACAACUCACAUAUAGUUCCAUAUAGUUUGUGUGAGAUUCAAGAUUUGGUGGGUAUUGUUUACUUUUCUCAAAUGGAAAAAUUGUCUAUAUAAAAAGUUUGGAUCUUGAUGAUCUCUAACAACUUGGUAUUCAAAUGUGUUUUAUUUUAAGUAAUUUAGUUUGUCAUUUGACCAAAACCCUUCUUUGAUUUUAAACACAUGUGCCUUAGAUUGGCUCAAAUUUAUCCAAAUGGAAAAAAGACAAUAUAUCAAAUGUAGAUCUUGAUGAUCUCUAACAACUUUGUAUUCAAAAUUUUUUCAUUUCAAGUCAUCAAAUGAGUCAUUUAACCAUGUUUGACCAAAGUCAAAGCAUUGGUUUUUAGAAACACACACUUUGACCGAACCCUAGAUGGUCCCAAAUAGAAAAGUCAUGAAUACAAAGUUUGUUACACUCGUCAAGUUCUACAUUUUGUCUAAUGGUCAACUUUUCAUUUGGAAAAGUUUAGACCACUCAAUUUUGAAUUUUGAAAGAAUUCAUGGCCACGCACCGGUUUUCAGAACCCUAGAUGAUCUCGACUCGAGAAGUCAUCAAUACCAAUAUUGUUCCACUCAUCAAGAUCUACAUUUAGCAUAUAGACCAUUUUUGUAUUUGACAAAGUGUUGGGAAGGUGUAGUUGAAAAUCCACAAUUCUCACAUAUAGUUUCAUAUAGUUUGUGAGGGAUUCAAGAUUUGGUGGGUAUUGUUUAAUUUUCCCAAAUGGAAAAAUUAUCAAUAUAAAAAGUUUGGAUCUUGAUGAUGUCUAACAACUUGGUAUUCAAAUGUUUUUUAUUUUAAGUAAUUUAGUUUGUCAUUUGACCAAGUUUGACCAAAACCUGUCUUGGUUUUUAAACACAUGUGCCUAGGAUUGGCUAAAAUUUAUCCAAAAUGUAAAAUAGACAAUCUUUCAAAUGUAGAUCUUGAUGAUCUCUAACAACUUUGUAUUCAAAUUUUUUUCAUUUCAAGUCAUCAAAUGGGUCAUUUGACAAUGUUUGACCAAAGUCAAAGCAUUGGUUUUUGGAAACACACACUUUGACCGAACUCUAGAUGAUCCCAAAUGGAAAAGUCAUGAAUACAAAGUUUGUUACACACUUCAAGUUCUACAUUUGGUUUAAUGGUCAACUUUUCAUUUGGAAAAGUUUGGACCACACAAUUUUGAAUUUUGAAAGAAUUCAUAGACACGCACCGGUUUUCGGAACCCUAGAUAGUCUCGACUAGAAAAGUCAUGAAUACCAAUAUUGUUUCACUCAUCAAGAUAUACAUUUAAUAUAUAGACCAUUUUAAUAUUUGACAAAGUUUUGGGAAGGUGUAGUUGAAAAUCCAUAAUUCUCACAUAUAGUUUCUUAUAGUUGUGUGAGAUUCAAGAUUUGGUAGGUAUUGUUUACUUAAAAUUUCUCAAAUGGAAAAAUUGUCUAUAUAAAACGUUUGGAUCUUGAUGAUCUGUAACAACUUGGUAUUCAAAUGUUUUUCAUUUUAAGUAAUUUAGUUUGUCAUUUGACCAAGUUUGACCAAAACCCAUCUUGGAUUUUAAGCACAUGUGCCUAGGAUUGGCUCAAAUUUAUCCAAAUGGAAAAAUAGACAAUAUAUCAAAUGUAGAUCUUGAUGAUCUCUAACAACUUUGUAUUCAAAAUUGUUUCAUUUCAAGUCAUCAAAUGGAUUAUUUGACCAAGUUUGAACAAAGUCAAAGCAUUGGUUUUAAGAUACACACACUUUGACCGAACCCUAGAUGGUCCCCAAUGGAAAAGUCAUGAAUACAAAGUUUUGUUGCACUCAUCAAGUUCUACAUUUGAUCUAAUGGUCAACUUUUCACUUGGAAAACUUUGGACCACUCAAUUUUGAAUUUUGAAUGAAUUCAUAGCCACGCACCGGUUUUUGGAACCCUAUGUGGUCUCGAUUGGAAAAGUCAUGAAUACCAAUAUUGUUGCACUCAUCAAGAUCUACAUUUAAUAUAUAGACCAUUUUUGCAUUUGACAAAGUGUUGGGAAGGUGUAGUCGAAAAUCCACAAUUCUCACAUAUAGUUUCAUAUAGUUUGUGUGAGAUUCAAGAUUUGGUGUGCAUUGUUUACUUUUCUCAAAUGGAAAAAUUGUCUAUAUAAAAAUUUUAGAUCUUGAUGAUCUCUAACAACUUGGUAUUCAAUAUUUUUUUAUUUUAAGUAAUUUAGUUUAUCAUUUGUCCCAGUUUGACCAAAACCCGUCUUGGAUUUUAAACACAUGUGCCUAGGAUUGGCUCAAAUUUAUCCAAAUGAAAAAUAGACAAUAUAUCAAAUGUAGAUCUUGAUGAUCUCUAACAACUUUGUAUUCAAAAUUUGUUCAUUUCAAGUCAUCAAAUGGGUCAUUUGACCAUGUUUGACCAAAGUCAAAGCAUUGGUUUUUAGAAACACACACUUUGACCGAACCCUAGAUGGUCCCAAAUGGAAAAGUCAUGAAUACAAAGUUCUUUACACUCAUCAAGUUCUACAUAUGGUCUAAUGGUCAACUUUUCAUUUGAAAAAGUUUGGACCACUCAAAUUUGAAUUUUGAAAGAAUUCAUAGCCACGCACCGGUUUUCGGAACCCUAGAUGGUCUUGACUCGAAAAGUCAUGAAUACCAAUAUUGUUCCACUCAUCAAGAUCUACAUUUAAUAUAUAGACCAUUUUUGCAUUUUACAAAGUGUUGCGAAGGUGUAGUUGAAUAUCCACAAUUCUCACAUAUAGUUUCAUAUUGUUGUGUGAGAUUCUGGAUUUGUGGGUAUUGUUUACUUAAAAUUUCUCACAAUGGAAAAAUUGUCUAUAUAAAAAGUUUGGAUCUUGAUGACCUCUAACAACUUGGUAUUCAAAUGUUUUUCAUUUUAAGUAAUUUAGUUUCUCAUUUGACCAAGUUUGACCAAAACCCAUCUUGGAUUUUAAACACAUGUGCCUAGGAUUGGCUCAAAUUUAUCCAAAUGGAAAAAAUAGAAAAUAUGUCAAAUGUGGAUCUUGAUGAUCUCUAACAACUUUGUAUUCUAAAUUUUUUCAUUUCAAGUCAUCGAAUGGGUCAUUUGACCAAGUUUGACCAAAGUCAAAGCAUUGGUUUUAUCAAACACACAUUUUGACCGUACCCUAGAUUGUCCCAAAUGGAAAAGUCGUGAACACAAAGUUUUGUUACACUCAUCAAGUUCUACAUUUGGUCUAAUGGUCAACUUUUCACUUGAAAAAGUUUGGACCACUCAAUUUUGAAUUUUGAAAGAAUUCAUAGCCACGCACCGGUUUUCGGAACCCUAGAUGGUCUCGACUGGAAAUGUCAUAAAUACCAAAAUUGUUCCAAUCAUCAAGAUCUACAUUUAAUAUAUAGACCAUUUUUGCAUUUAACAAAGUGUUGGGAAGGUGUAGUUGAAAAUCCACAAUUCUCACAUACAGUUUCAUAUAGUUUGUGUGAGAUUUAAGAUUUGGUGGGUAUUGUUUACUUAAACUUUCUCAAAUAGAAAAAAUGCCUAUAUAAAAAGUUUGGAUCUUGAUGAUGUCUAACAACUUGGUAUUCAAAUGUUUUUUAUUUUAAGUAAUUUAGUUUGUCAUUUGACCAAGUUUGACAAAAACCCAUCUUGGAUUUUAAACACAUGAGCCUAGGAUUGGCUCAAAUUUAUCCAAUUGGAAAAUUAGACAAUAUAUCAAAUGUGGAUCUUGAUGAUCUCUAACAACUUUGUAUUCAAAUCAUAGCUUAAAUUUUAUUUAAUUUGGCUUAGUUUUAAUUUUAGGCAAUUAUUAAAUAAUUUACAAAAAUAAAUAAAAUAAAUUAUAAGGUAGAAACAUCACUACAAGCUUUUCGGUCUAAUGCAACAUCGAAGAAUUGCAACCUAGAAAAUUUGGUUGCUAGAGAUCGUUGUAUUAUAACCAUUCUAAAAAAUGGUAGCGAUACAUGCCUUUAAUACAACGAUUUUCAAGAUGUUGCAAAGCUCUGUUGCAUUUGGUGGACGAUAUUGCAAUGGUGAAAAAUGGUUGUAGUAGAAUUGAUUUUGGUUGCAAUUGUGUGGUAGUACUGCAACUACAUUUACGUUAGUUGCAUUUGGUUUUGACUAUUGCUACGGUUUCUUUAUGUUGCAUAAAAUUUGACAAGCGUUGCAAAUGCUAGAUGCUUAAUGCAACGAAAACUCUUGGAGGCGAAGCAAAAGUGGGGGUCAAUUGCAACCUUUUUUUUGCAGUUGCAAUAUACUUGAUAUUGUUGCAAGUGCUAAAUUUUAUUGCAACGAGAUCUCUGGGGUCGAAGCGAAAAUUGUGUUCAAGUGCAAUGCUUAUUGUUUGUUGCAAUAUACUUUGAUAAUUGCAACGAGAACUAGAAGGCGAGGCUGAUUUGGAUUAGGCCUUAUCACAGGCCAUACAUGCAGCGAGCCAGGCACCCGCCAGGUCAAGGCCUGCUGCGGCUGCAGGCUUCAGUGCUGGCCAAUCUGGGCCAUUUGGCCGGUCCGGGCAGGAGGAAAGAUGUGGUGGGCCGCUGUUACCAGUUUGCUAGGCCUACAUGUCCCAAUCUGCAGAAAAGGUCGAUGGGCGACGGCGUGCUCCAAAGGUGCUCGACGAAAAGCAAGGCAUGGCGCGUGCUGGUGCUGUGCGUGAGUGUGCGUUGGCCUGAGUAGGGCUAUGCUUCAUGAAAGUGCUGGUGCGUGUCCUUGGGCGCGGUGUCUGCGGCGAGGCCACGGUGGCCGCGAGUGGCGCGGCGACACCGUGCCGAUCAAGCCGAUGGUGUUGCGUCGAUGGCGCGUGGUAUGGCUGUGCAGAUGUCCGAAGCCGAGCUGCGCGUGUGCUUGCUGGCGUGCUUGGACGGCGGCGGCAAGGUCACGAUGGCCGCUGGCUGGUGCGUGUGCUUGCACAGCAUGUCCGCGAGGCGUGCAUGUGCAAGGCAAGAUCACGGUCAAGGCGGCUUGUGUCCGUGUGCUGCACUAUGGUGUCCAGGUGCCGGAUUGCGACGUGCUGUGUCCGUGUGGUGGCAAAGUUGGACCAACAGAGUGUGAGCUCAUGCUUGUGCUUGUGUCCACGUUGAUGGCUAAUGGGCUGUCUUUGGUGCUCCUAGCAGGCUGACGACAAGGGCGCUGUAGUGCUCAUGGCCACGGCAUAGUGCACGGCGGCAAGGCCACGGCGUAGUGCACGGCGGCAAGCACAUUCCACUACGAUUUCUUCAUGGAGCUGAAGUGCAUAAAAACACGCUCAAUUUCUGUAAACAGUUGGGCCAAUAUCAAAGGUCCAAACUGGCCUCUCAAGAAGGCCGAACACACCUCUUGGCAUAAGCUAGAGCACACAAAUACAAAGAGAAACAUGGCUGUUCCUCCUUUUGACAUCUGACCAAAACGAUGGCCGGAGACAGUGGUUGAUGGUGUUGACUACAAUGUUGACGAGGAGGAGGACAAGCCAUCGGCCGACGAUCUCAUGGUGUCAAGGGCGACCAAGAAUACUCCGGUGCAGGUGGCCGCCGACUUAUGCAAUCUGCUAAUGAAAAUAUGUUGUCAUAUGAACCUCUGUAUAGAGGGGCUUUCGAUUCUGCCAAGAAAAUCUUGAUUUUAGAUUGCAACUUAUAAGUGAAAAUACUUAAAACAUUUGUCUCGAGAGGUAUUCAUUAGCAUAACGAACAUUAAGGUUCCAUGCAACGGUUCAAACUUAACCAUGUCAUCAGUUCAAAAGAAAAAAAUAAUAAAGUGCGACAUAUACGUAUGAAGGAUAAGUGACCCUUCCCAUCAAACAGUGCAACAAAAAAAUUGUCUUCAAACAAAGAAAUCAUCUUCUCCAUAUUCUUCCAUGACUGGUGCAAUAACCUCAACAUCAAUGUAGGUGUCAUCGUCGUCAGAAUCAUCGUCACCAAUAUAGUCAUCAACGGGUUCGGGAAUUGCUUCGCUACGCACUUGAUUAAUAAUGGCGGUAGAACCAGUUUAAGAAUUCCUGACCUUGGCCUGAUUCAUUCAUUUCUUGGAUUCUCACAUCAAGUGCAUCGGCGUCAUUUCCUAUGUCUGGCAUGGAAAACAAAUUUCUUGGUCUCACCAAAACAAAAGUAGACCAUCCUGGCUUGUUCACGAUAGGGACAUAAAACACCAGUUCAGCAUUUGAAGCAAGAAUGUAAGGUUCAUCCGAAUAUCUGAACAUGUAAGUAGCAAUGUCGAUAAUACUAAAUUUAUCCCUAUUGUACCCUCUGAUUCUGCUGGUACUGGUAGCCGGCACAUCAUACCAAUCACAAUGAAACAAUAUAACUUCUUUUUCUUGUGGGAAUUCCAGGGAGAUUAUAUUUCUAGUGACUCCAUACCAGGUCAUGUUGCCUGUACUUUCAUCACCCUUCACAAGGACACUAGAAUUUUGUGUCACGAGGCUUUUCUCUAUGGCAGCUGUCUGAAAUAGCCAAUUAUUGAUGUGCACUCUAUUCAACACACGAGCUCGAGGGUCAGGUCCUUGAGAAAGGGCAUGCAUCAGUUUAGUUGCUUCCCCUUUCUCUUAUAGUUUUGCUAUCUGCAAUUUAAAAAUCAAGUUAUGCAUCUACCAGUUAAUUACUACGUCGGUCUGACCAUAAAGUGUAAUUUAAAAAUAUAAAAUAAUACUACAUACCUCGAUUUCAAACCAUCUUACAAAAUGCUCCUUGUGUCGUUUUUUAAUGUUAAUUGAACUAUCCCUUGUUAGUUGUGUCUUAUGCUCCCUACAUCAGAGUGCACCAAAUUAUUAGUUGACGCCACAAACAAGCAGAUAAUAGAUAAAUUUAGUGGUAAAAAAUGCGACUUACGCUACCCAUUUCCUGGCUUCAUCACAAUUAGUAAUUAUGUAGUGCCUCAUCUUUUGAAGUUCAACUUUCUCCAAAUUAUUAAGCUUAUUUCCUCUCCUCUUGUUAUCAAUUUCACUAAAUAUGCUUAGACCACUUGGAGGCUCAUUCACAACUGUAUUUUCAUGAUGAUCAGCUCGACUCAGCUUGGUGUCGAUGUCGAAGAAUCGAGAGCAAAAUGUAAGACACUCCUCAGCUAUGUAGCAUUUAGCUAUUGAUCCUUCUGGCUGUGCCUUGUUCCUGACAUAUACUUUAACAGUACGUAGAUACCUCUCUACUGGAUACAUCCAUCUGUAACACACUGGCCCUCCUAGUUUAGCCUCUUCAACUAGAUGGACCGGCAAAUGAAUCAUUAUGUCAAAAAAUGCAGGUGGGAAAACCAUCUCAAGCUGAUAAAGAGUUUCUUUAAUUGAACUGUCUAGUUUGUCAAGAUCUGCUGGCACCAACUCAUUUGAACAAAGUGCACUAAAGAACCUACUGAGCUCAAUCAACGGCUUGGCAACAUCUUCUGGCAAAAUCCUUCUAAUGACUAAGGGCAAUAGUUUUUGUAGAAUAAUAUGGUAGUCAUGAGUUUUGAGUCCAGACACCUUAGAUUGGAGCAGAACCCAUCACGGAUCUUCACUCCUUGAAGAAAUUGGCAUAAAAUCCUCUUGUCAUCCUUGUCUAGAGAGUACAACGCUGCUGGCAAUGUGUACGUGUCAUCAUCAAUCACAGGAUGCUGAUCUUGCCUGAUCCCAAGAUGUUCCAUGUCAAGGCGGGCAUUCUCGUCGUCCUUACAUUUCCCUUCAAUUUCAAGCAAAGUCCCUAAUAUGCUCUCGCAUAUGUUUUUCUCAAUAUGCAUCACGUCCAAAUUAUGCCUUAUGACCAAAGAAGACUGUUGGGCAUUCUUAACGUCACUACCAAAAGGAGACUUAAUUUUCUAAUUCUGAUAACGGCGCCAAAAAUGCCAAACCUAUCCCUCAUGUCACUUAAGCCAAGUUGUCAUCCCUAGCAUGACAUGAGAGACGCGGUAUUGAAAUAUGUAGUUGCUCUUCUAAAUAAAUAAUAAAUAAGAUUUUCAAGCGCACAGAUUAAUACCGAUGUAGCAUUUUAACCGGGAAGUAUUACAGGUAUCGUUAUUUAUAUUUUUACCACUGGGAAGGGAUUGCUAAACAUUAAUGUUGAUUAUGGAAUGAAAUAUAGAAUUGAGUAUCUAUCAUUGCAUGUAUAAUUGAGAGCAUUUAUGUGCUUUCGAGCAAUUAUCUGGGCAUAAGAUCAACUUCCACAAGAGUGAAAUUUUCUGCUAUGGUGCAACUAGAGAGAUGGAGCUUUUUUAUACUAGUCUUUUUGGGUGUAAGGCUGGGGAAUAUCCCUGUAGAUAUUUGGGAAUCCCAAUGCACCAUAGACAGCUUCUGAACUCUGAUUGGAGAGUAAUAGAAGAACGUUUCCAAAAGAAACUCUCUUGCUGGAAAGCGAAAUACCUGUCUUAUGGCGGAAGACUGGUCUUGCUAAAUUCAGUCUGAAGUAGCCUGCCCAUGUUUAUGAUAUCUUUCUUCGAGAUUCCUAAGGGAGUUCUCAAGAACCUUGACUUUUUUAGAUCAAGGUUCUUCUGGUAAGGAUCUGCUGAUAAGCAUAAAUAUAGACUUGCCAGAUGGGACAUAUUAUGUCGUCCUAAGGACCAGGGGGGUCUAGGUAUUUUGGACUUACAAUUAAAAAAUAAAUGCUUAUUGUCCAAAUGGUUGGUAAGUCUACUCAACACAGAGGGCUUAUGGCAGUCCCUUUUGUCUAAUAAAUACCUAGGAUCCAAAACCCUUACCCAAGUCAAUGCCAAACCCAAUGAUUCACAUUUUUGGAGAGGCCUCAUGCGUAUUAAAGAUGAGGUGCUGGCUAAAGGUUCCUUUGAUGUUAGAGACGGAACUAAGACAAGGUUCUAGGAUGACACAUGGGUGGGAGAUAAGCCUCUAAAAGUAAAAUACCCUUCCCUUUAUAAUAUAGUACGUGAUCGCCACGCUACUGUUUCCAAAGUGUUAACCACUACCCCCCUCAACAUCCAUUUUCGGAGGGCUCUAGUGGGCAACAACCUAUUAGAUUGGCUUAAUUUAGUAGCACAAAUUUCUAAUGUGGUUUUGGAGGUGGGGUCGGACUAUUUUAGGUGGAGCUUAACCAAAUCUGGGUUAUUCUCUGUCCGCUCUCUGUAUCUCCAUCUCAUUGAUACUCGACCACCUUUUUUCCACAAUAAACUCUGAAAAAUAAAAAUUCCUCUAAAGGUCAAAAUGUUUCUUUGGUUCCUACAAAGAGGUGUCGUUCUUACCAAAGACAACCUCGCUAGGAAGAAUUGGAAAGGGAGCCAGAAAUGUGUCUGUUGUAAUAUGAAUGAGACUAUCCAACACUUAUUCAUUGAUUGCCCUUUCACCAAGACGAUUUGGAGGAUUAUUUUCUUUGCUACUAGUUUAAACCCACCUAGGUCUAUCAACCACAUGUUUGGUACCUGGCUUUGUAAUCAAAGUAUGAAGCUUAGAGAGGUGAUUUGGGUUGGGGUAGCUACCAUGUGCUGGGCCAUCUGGUCUUGCCGGAAUGAUGUUAUUUUUNNNNNNNNNNNNNNNNNNNNNNNNNNNNNNNNNNNNNNNNNNNNNNNNNNNNNNNNNNNNNNNNNNNNNNNNNNNNNNNNNNNNNNNNNNNNNNNNNNNNGGAUGUAGAGGCAGAUGUUUUAUCUAUUAUCUAAAAAAAAUCUAUCUCUUUCAUACAGGGAUAAAUGUCACAUAAAAGAUAUAGAUAAAGUAUGAAUGGUGACAAAGAUAAUUAAUCUGAUAAGCAUAACUUAGCCACAUAUAAUAAUGAUAAGCACCUCAAUAGAUAUUCUAGCAAGUCAUUAGUAUGGAAUUAGGUCGAACUACAAGAAUAUUUCCUAAGUUAUUCUUAACUAUAAAGUCUAGCAUAUCAUAGUUAGUGCAAUUAUACUUGGCAAUCAUUGCGAGACAAAACUACGCCCAUGCAUAGUGAUAUUAUCAAGAAAGAUGAGAAACAUAGCAAUCACUCCCCUGUAAUAAUAUUGCUCUGCCAGCCCUAUACACGAGACGGGGACUAUAUAAGAAUCAAUGGAGCUGUCACUACCACGAACUACCCCGCGAUCAGGCAUAUAGGGUACAAUCAUAGAUAAAUACGGUAUAGGCACCACGCCUACACAAUACUUAUCAUUUACCCACUGUACACAUGGAUAAACGCUAUACGAUCCUAAACAUGUAUAUAACUCCAAUCUAACUAAGCCAAGCAUAUAACUAUGAUAAACUAAGAACAAUAUAAUUGCAAAUAUAAAUAAGUAGAGCAAAGUCAUAAUCAAUAUAUUCAAGUAGAACAAAGUCAUAUUCAUAAUAUUGAAGAACAAUGAUGAACAAUUGAAGAACAAUAGAGAAAUUACCAAGAAUCCUCUUGACAGAUCCAGAAACCAAUCGAAGAUUGACUCCUUCUAGUUCUAAUCCUAUGUAGCUAUGCUAAACUAGAGAUCUAUUGAUGUGGUGGCUCUAGGGCUUGAUCAGAGGCUUCUUCUCCUGAGAUUGAUAAUGAAUUAGGGUUUCAGAGAGAUAGAGGUCCUCCUCUCUAGGGGCCAGGGGGUCUGCUUAUAUAGUCCUUCCAAAUGAAUGUGGGCCAUCCGAUCAAACCGGCAUUAAUCGCACGGUUUUCCUUGAUCCUUUAGGUCGGUGGAGCAUGAUCCGCGAGGUUGGUUCUGAUUGGCCCUCAGACCAGGGCGGGCGCCCAAGGGGGGAGGGCGGGCGCCUUGCCCCCGGGCCCGUUCGGCCUCCCGUUCAUUCCCGUGGCUUCUGGACUCUUCUAGAUGAUGGAUAAUUGCGUGGUACGUUAAUAUCUCUAUGUAAACCCGACGUGUGGGCCUUUCUUCCAUAAUUCUUGAUAACAUCCUGCAGAAAUAGACAAACACCAGAACUCAUGGAAUUCUGUCAGAUAAAAACCUAAGUCUCUAAGUCUGGAUGUUGGUUGCAUUUGGAUCCUUUUCUUUGUUUAUUUGCUGAUUAUAUUUGAUACUUAAGGACCAUCAACAAACUCCCCCAAGCUUACCUCUUGCUCGUCCCUGAGCAAGGAUAGACUCAGUGAUGGAUCAGAAGUUGCUGUAAUGCCUUUAAAAGUUGACGGUACACAUGCUUUCAAAUGAGGUAUCAUCUCUGAGUUAGAGUAAACUAUCAAGACUUAAAACUUAUUCAUUUUACCUUUCACCAUGGGACUUGCAACCGUCACUUCUGUCUUGAGCAGUUAAAAGAUAGAACGGUCUAGUCAAGUGCCAUGUCUCUUAUUCUUGAUCAGCUAUAGCUCUGGAGGUUUUGCAGAUUUUCAAAUAAAACUCAGAGAUUCCUUGUAUGACUCUUUCAGAUCUCUCUUUUGUGGUAUUUCUGGAUCCUUACCAAGGCAGUGAUGGUAUAUGCCUUCUCUCAAAGUAUAUGGUAUUUGUGGUAUAAGGCAUAGUGACAUUGCCUUCUCUCUCACCCUACUCUAAUAAGGCUUUGAUAUCUGGAGCUCGUAGGUGGGAGAUAAAGUAUACAUACUUACAAAACAUUUAUUGCAUAGUCAAACCAUGGAUCCAGAGAAACAAGUCAAUAAGUCAAAUCAAGAUGUGCAUGUGUGGCGAAUGAAUGGUGUAUGGUGAUGAUGGUGAUAACAAUGGUGAAAGUCUAAUUCUACUUGUUGCUCUUUUGAGGGGAUACAUACCUUUUUGGCUCUUUUGAAACUUUUUGAGGAGAAUGAGAUGCUCUAUAAUUUCUUUUUCUUUCCUCUCAGGUGGGUAUCUUCUACCCCUAAUUCUACUAUCGGACACUUGUCCAUUUUUACCUCUCCUCUAACUUUUUAUUUUCUUUCGAGGUUCUGGGCACUUGCCCCUUUUUAUUUCCUCGUAUCCUCUUCUUUUUGUUUAGAGCACCCAUCUCCUGAAAUAAUAUAGCAAGUGGUAGUGAACAAAAUAACUCGAGCAUUUAUUUCACAGGGAAAAACAGGAAUGGGAUAAUGUUUUUGGCUAUUCUCUCCCGGAUUCGGAGUAGAAUACUUUUGGGUGGUUCUGGAGAUGGAAAUGAGUGGAUAUAUAUGCAUGCGUACUUCCAGAGUAGAAGCAGCAUGUGUGAGUGAACGUGCAAGUGAAUCUUGAUUUAACCACAUGACAAGCUCCUAAGGGUCUACACAGCUUGACCACAUUCAAUGUUCAUAAGCAGUAAAAAGUAAAUGUGUGGCUCAAAGUCUAGCAAGCAUGUAUAUAUGGCUGUGGUAGGAAUUUAAACUCUCAUCAUAUAGGAACUCAUCAUGUGAUAUUUCAAAGAUUUUUAAAGAUAAAAUUCUCCAGAAUUCUAACAUCUCUAGGAACAGAUAAACUGCAGCUCAACCUUCUCAUAUCAUAUCCAUUAACAACUUAGACUUCAGAUCAAGUUCUCUUCCCGCAAGUUCAGGUUUAGAGCAAGCUUUAAAUUAUAACAGUUAUGUCUAAACUAGAGAGAGAACUUCAAAUUUGAAAAUUAGGCAGAGCAACUAUUCAUCAUAUCCAUGCUAGAGUUUUAUUAAGAUUUAGUUUAGCACAGCCACUUUAUUUAUUUAUUAAGCACACUAAGCAAAAGAUAUAUAUAUAUAUAUAAGCACAAAAUAUUUAUUUGGUUUUUCAUGGUUAUGUAUAUUUAUAUUUUAAUAUAGUAUAAGUAUAAAUGUAGAUAGAAAUACUUAGCAGGAUAAAUGGGGGUGCUCUCCCUCAAGCUGAAUUUUGAUGUAAUUUCUUCUGAUGUAGCUAGCAGGUAGCAGAGGUGUAUUUGAAAGUCGGCAGCACCCUGACAGCGAUUAGGAUGUCCUCCGUCUGCUAGUCUUCUUGAUCCUUGAAUUCUGUGGAGCUCAAAUAGACAACAAAGCUUUGUGGAACUUGAUUAGGUGUUAGCGCAAAUAUCUAGCCUUUAUCAUGUUGAGCCUCCUCAAUAAGUGUACUCUAUAUUUUUUUAUAUUUUUAUUCUAUAGAGCAGAAAAAAUAUCUUUAUUUUAUUUUUAUGCCACCACAGUGAAUGUACUUAUGGGUUUUAUGCCACUCGUAUACUCACAUGGAGCUUACUGUUUUUUAACAUUUUUAUUUUCUUUUUAAGAUAGUAUGAUCAUGAUUAACUAAGCGAACUAUUUUAAGUAAUUGAAAGGAAAAGGGUAACUACCAAGUUUAGCUCUUGGCAAUGCGUUCGGUGUUUUUAAGGCCUCCAAACGGGACUUUCUAUUUUCUCAGUCGUCCUAGGAUUCGUUGGAUGGCGUAGUCGGUGGUUCCGACGGCGCCUCCUCUUCGAGUAUAACUAUCUUCUCUCUCCACACCUGGCUCGGUGCUACGGUCUCCUCAGGAUAAUUCUGUUCAAGCUAUUUGUCUUCAGACCAUGCCACUUCUUCAUAGUCUGCCCAUCCGUCCUUGAUGAUUUGCCUCCUCUGGUUGUGGUUGCGUCGUCUUCUUCUUGUCCUGACCUGCUUAGAGUCUUCAACGAUAUAGUUAGGGUCAGUAAAAUAGCGGCGUACCUUCUCCGAGGGGAAGUGCAUAUGGAAUUCUCUGGUUCCAAUGUAAAUGAUUGCUUUAACGGUGCUGAGGAAUGGUCUCCUAAGGAUGAUGGGUGGAUCAUACUCGUCUUCUCCCAUGUCAAUAACCUGAAAGUCUGUAUGGACAAAAUGAUCAUCUAUUUUAAUAGGGACAUCAGUUACUAUACCUUCAACCUUUCGGAAUGUCUGAUCUGCCAUCUAGAGCUGAAUGUAUGUUGGUUUUAGGGUCAUAUUUCCGAAUAGGAGCUGAUAGGUGACUGCGGCCAUUAUGUUGACGCCCGAUCCGGUGUCGCAAAGUGUGUUGUAGAAGUUGUACCCAUUAAUGGAGCAAUGAAUGCUUGGCAUACCUGGGUUGUCCUUGAGUCGACGAUCUUGACCUCCAUGAACUGCAGUGACCAUCUUAGCUGACUCGGUCCACACUUGCUUGUUCGUGUUCCUCCUGUUGAUCCUCUUCCUUGGUUCUUGUCGGGAUUGCUCAAUUUGUGUAGUCUUGUUCUCAAAGAAAAAUGUCUCCUUCCUCCCCUUGAUGUAGAAACUGGUCUUGGCAGAAUUAGCGUAGACUACAGCUCAAGAGGUGUUCAGGAAUGGCCUCCCUAAGAUGAUGGGUGCCCUCUGAUCAUUACCAGUCUCUAUCACCAUGAAGUAUGCUGAGGCAUACAAGGUACCAACUCAGACGU